rnacentral:rRNA from 1 species
GACGAACGCUGGCGGCGUGCUUAACACAUGCAAGUCGAGCGGUAAGGCCCUUUCGGGGGUACACGAGCGGCGAACGGGUGAGUAACACGUGGGUGACCUGCCCUCAGCUCUGGGAUAAGCCUGGGAAACCGGGUCUAAUACUGGAUAUGGCUCCAUGACGCAUGUUGUGGGGUGGAAAGCCUUGUGCGGCUGAGGAUGGGCCCGCGGCCUAUCAGCUUGUUGGUGGGGUGANGGCCCACCAAGGCGACGACGGGUAGCCGGCCUGAGAGGGCGACCGGCCACACUGGGACUGAGACACGGCCCAGACUCCUACGGGAGGCAGCAGGUGGGGAAUCUUGCGCAAUGGGCGAAAGCCUGACGCAGCGACGCCGCGUGAGGGAUGACGGCCUCGG